AUUGAACGCUGGCGGCAGGCCUAACACAUGCAAGUCGAACGAGUGGCGGACGGGUGCGUAAUGUCUGGGAAACUGCCUGAUGGCGGGGGCUAACUACUGGAAACGGUAGCUAAUACCGCAUACCAUCGGAUGUGCCCCGAUGGGAUUAGCUAGGAGGUGGGUUAAAGGCUCACCUAGGCGACGAUCCCUAGCUGGUCUGAGAGGAUGACCAGCCACACUGGAACGGAUACACGGUCCAGACUCCGACGGGAGGCAGCAGUGGGGAAUAUUGCACAAUGGGCGCAAGCCUGAUGCAGCCAUGCCGCGUGUGUUAAGAAGGCCUUCGGGUUGUAAAGCACUUUCAGCGGGGAGGCGUUACCCGCAGAAGAAGCACCGGCUAACUCCGUGCCAGCAGCCGCGGUAAUAC
rnacentral:rRNA from 1 species